AAAAAGGAACCCUUGCCCCUUGGUGACACUUUUAAGGUUCUUAAAAUACCUCACAGAUCCUGAUUCACUGUCACCAGCGUGUGUCAGGACUCUGCCUACAGAGGAAAGCUCCUGGAAAGACAGGCAGGGAGCCUCUCCAAUUAGACUGUCUCUACCCAUUCCUCUGUGUCCCAGCCCAAUGCCAAGUGCUUGUUCCUAUGACUGGGGCCAUCAAAUCCACCACUGGAUUGAGGGGUUUACACGUGGUAAUUAUCAUAGGCUCACAGGAACCCCGAGAGAAGCAGGUGCUGCUGACCUCUGGACCCAGGAGGCACCCCCAGAUUGAUCUCCAGGGGACCCAGAGUUGUCCACUCAUCUACCAGCCCUUGGCUCUGAAUCUGCCUUGAGAGGAUCCGGCCUGCUUUAAAAGUUGAGGAUGAGGGACAUGGCGGCCUGUGUUUCAGUAACUAGGAGACCCGGUGGUCGGACUGAGGAGCGAGAUGAAGCAUGAUGAGCAAGUGGACAAUUCAGACGGUGAGCCACCUGACCGCAGCUCCACAAAACACCAAGCACAGGGAGCACAGGUCACAAAGUGACUUUGCUGGACUGCCUGCCCCAUCAUGCUGUGGCCAUGUCUAGAAGAAGUCUUAUGUUCUGUAGGAAGGCAAAUACACUCCAAGCCCUGCCUAAGUGACUGGUGUUUGACUCCCUGGAGAGGCCAAGUGUGAACUCACUGGUUUAGGUAUGGAUACAAGGGCACCCACCUGCCCCCUCUUCCUCUCUGCCCCCUCUCCCACAGACCAGCCAUGGGUGUCUGGGCCCAUUCUUUGAAUCUGUUUGUUCCAAACUUAGAUGGUUAAAUGGUUCUAAGAUUGUAUAGAGCCAUUAUAACAAGCAGGUGUGGGUUGAUUCUGUACAUUUCCUUGGGAAACAGAGGAAUUAACCCAAAUCUCUGUGGGAUUCUAAAGGAUGGCACUUUCUGAGCUCUUCUGGUUUUAUUUUCCUUUUAGAGACAAUGUCUCAUGUAGCCCAGGCUGGACUAGAACUCACUACUUAGAUAAGGACAACCUCGAAUUUCCUGAUUCCUCCCUGCCCCCACUUCUCAUGAGCUAAGGUUACAUGUGUGUGCCACGAUCAUGCCUAUUUUAUGGGGUGCUGGGUGUCGAACCCAGGGCUUUAUGCAUUCCAGGCAGACACUCUAGCAGCCGCACUACAUUCCCAGCUCAAAUUCUUGUUUACAUGUAUACAAGACAAGCCAUCUUGCUGCUGCUACUCCUCUGCCCCUUUACAGUGGCUUUUGCACAAGAUGCUGCUUGGAGAACAUUGUAUAGACAGACAGAUGGACAGAUGCUGAGAGGCUUCACAGUGCAAGUACACCCUAGAGCUGUGGUUACAGAGAAGGCAGCAGAGGAUGGGUGGCUUCCCUGGAGACGAUGGAGAGGGACGUCAGGAACUGCUAAGACCUGACUCUGCACGAAGGUUUCAUUCAGAUCCUAGCCAGGGUAGUUGUUGAAGGAAAGUUCGUGAAGUGGGAUUUGCUUGCUUCUUGGUGUUUCUUUCUAUCAUUGCAGUGUUGAUUUAGCUGCCAUACUAAAAAUACCAGGAAAUUGACUUUAAAUGUUUUUAAUUAAGAUGAAGUGUCGGAUGCCAGUGAGAUAGCUCGGUUGGUACUUAAACCAACUGCACAUGCCUGACAAACUGACUUCAAUCCCUGGAACCCAAAAGCCAGAUGUGUGGUGGCUAGUAUCUGUAACCCCAGAACUCCUGCAGUGAGGUUCAAAGUUUGCCCCCGCCAUGGCAAAAUUACUUUCUUUUCUUUCAGAAAAUGUGGCAUAGGUGAAGGACUCUGUGGCAGCAGUGAUUUACUUCUGCCACUAUUCUGUUGCUUCUAUGUAGCUGACAUCCAUUCCCACUAGUACCUUCAUCACCAUCACCACAGCCUUUGUCAGCAUCACCACCUCCAUCACCCAAAACUACCCUCAUCACCACCAAUGUCACUUCUAUUGCUACCAUAACGACCAGCCUACGAUUUCAUUAUUACCAUCUCAGUACCACCAUCCCACCUCCAUCCUUUCCCAUCCCCGCCUUCACCAUCAUCUCUAACCCCACUCUGACUACCAUCAC